GAUGAACGCUAGCGGCAGGCCUAACACAUGCAAGUCGAGGGAGAAGCCCUUUCGGGGGCAGAAACCGGCGCACGGGUGCGUAACGCGUAUGCAACCUACCUUUCACAGGGGGAUAGCCCGAAGAAAUUUGGAUUAAUACCCCAUAAUAUUAUUGGAUGGCAUCAUUUGAUAAUUAAAACUGCGGUGGUGAAAGAUGGGCAUGCGUCCUAUUAGCUAGUUGGAGUGGUAACGGCACCCCAAGGCUACGAUAGGUAGGGGUCCUGAGAGGGAGAUCCCCCACGCUGGUACUGAGACAGGGACCAGACUCCUACGGGAGGCAGCAGUGGGGAAUAUUGGUCAAUGGUCGGAAGACUGAACCAGCCAUGCCGCGUGCAGGAAGAAUGCCUUAUGGGUUGUAAACUGCUUUUAUAUGGGAAGAAUAAGGCGUACGUGUACGUUGAUGACGGUACCAUAUGAAUAAGCAUCGGCUAACUCCG
rnacentral:rRNA from 1 species